GAUGAACGCUAGCUACAGGCUUAACACAUGCAAGUCGAGGGGUAACGAGAGGAAAGCUUGCUUUCCUUGUCGACGACCGGCGCACGGGUGAGUAACGCGUAUCCAACCUGCCCCCAACUAGGGAAUAACCUUGCGAAAGUAAGACUAAUACCCUAUAAUUUCCUCAGAUGUCAUCUGACGAGGAAUAAAGAUUUAUCGGUUGUGGAUGGGGAUGCGUCUGAUUAGCUUGUUGGCGGGGUAACGGCCCACCAAGGCAACGAUCAGUAGGGGUUCUGAGGGGAAGGUCCCCCACAUUGGAACUGAGACACAGUCCAAACUCCUACGGGAGGCAGCAGUGAGGAAUAUUGGUCAAUGGGCGGAAGCCUGAACCAGCCAAGUAGCGUGCAGGAUGACGGCCCUAUGGGUUGUAAACUGCUUUUAUACAGGAAUAAAGUUAGCCACGUGUGGUUAUUUGUAGGUACUGUAUGAAUAAGGACCGGCUAAUUCCGUGCCAGCCGCCCGGUAA
rnacentral:rRNA from 1 species